rnacentral:lncRNA from 1 species
CAAGUACUCAGGCCAGCAGGUAGUGAGGUCAGCAGAAUAAGCGUCAUCACAACAACCCUACAAAUAAUAAAAAUGCUUGUGAGGCGUGAGAUCCUCUCUGUGUUUACUGAGAAGUGCCAACUGUAGAGUUGAGGAACUGUUUGACUGAGAAAGCCUGAGAAAGUUUGUUUUUCUCACUUCUGAAACACUGCAUCAUGAGUAUACCUUCACUGAGGUAAGACAUUUAGUCAGUUUAACUUUAACAACUUAAUAUGAUCAUUUAGCAAAUAUUCUCAAAUAGAAAAAAAUACAAAUGUGUGUGAAUAACUAUUUUUGAAAUUAGCUACAUGUGACCCCUUAGGCUCCAAAAUUGAUUUGUGUUUGCUUGUUUUUAAUACAGACACAAAACUGCAUUACACAAUUAUCUUCUCACCCCAAAUGCAGUUAAUUUACCUAUGCAUUUGUAACAUUUGAUAUUUGCUUGUUUAGUUUUGAACUGCUGCUACAAGGCUAAUGUAGAAACAUGCUUAUGGAAAUCUAUACCAAUACUCUUUUUUUCGUAUUUAAAAUAAUUGUAGUGUAUUACAAACAACUCCAAACAUAUGACUAAUAAAUUUGGACAAGAACAAAACCAUAUAAAUGGAAAUGUUGGUAAAUUAAUACUGCACUGAUAUUUAUGUACUAUUGGUAUAGAAAUGGAGUUGAAAUAGAAUUUAAUGACAUGAUAUGUACAAACUAAGGUUCACUAUGUUAGUAUAUGUACACAAACCAUGUGAACCUAUAUUAGCAUACAUUUAAAAUGUAUGCUGCAAUUAAUGCUGUAAUAUCAUUUGGUGCAUAGUAAUGCAGUCAGAAUACACAUGAAUUCCGAGGAGAAAUGCAUGGUAUGCUACACCCUACACCUACACCAUUUGCUACACCCUGGGUCUUUAAAAUGCCACAGUUGGGAAGGGCACAAUGUCUUUUAGUCUUUUGUUAGUAGUCGCAAUUGUAAACAAGCUCAUAUUUACAAGUCAGACCACAAUUAUAGAAAGCAUACUGUCAAACGUGGUUCAAGUUUUUUUUUUUUUUGUGGGACAGCAACAAAUUUCACUAAUAAUCUCUCUUUUCUGUCUUUAAGAGUUAGUCCCUGUGCUUCUGGUGACCAGCAGCAGUUCUUCCCCACAGUGUCCAGCCCUCAGGAUGUUAACACUGCAGCGUCUGGUUUCUUUGGUCAGUCUUCACACAGCUUGGCAGUUCCAACCUUACUGUAUGUUAAACAAAAUUCCAUGGAAGGACCCAUCGAACUGAAGGACUCUUCUGAAGAAGUUGAUGACAUUCUCAAACCCACAGUAGACCUGUGUGGGUAUAUCUCUGUGUUCCAUUAAGAGCAGGACAGGUUGUGUUGUUUUAUCAGGCUGCAUGUCAUCAGCAGCCGGAGGCUCUCUCCCUACAUCACUUCCACUGUGACCAAAGGAUUUGGCUUGAGGUUUAAUCAAAAGAAAAGAAUAUUUGUUAAUUUUUUCCAUUUCUUAAAAAAAUAUAUAUUUGCGCUGU